AAGAUACGUUCAUUCUAAAUGAAGGAAUUUAGCUCUGAAGAAAUGGAGAUGGAGGCAAGCCCAAUUCAAGGUCACGCAACCCGAUCUGGUUGGAUCGAUAAGACCUCCUAGCCUAACAAGAGAUUUUCCUCACUGGAACAGAUCCAAGUUUUCUAGGGAAGAUGAUGGUUGCGACGAGGUUGCAUGUUUCAGAUCGAGAUGCCGGAAGAGUGAAUUUCAUCCGAUUCAAAUUUUCUCUGUAAGUGAAUUGCAACUAUAACUACAGGAGAACUAAAGGUGUAGCAAUAAGUUGUUACACAUGCAGCUCCAGGAAUGGAACUGAUUUGAACUGCCAUGAUCCAUUUCAUCCAGCAAUGAGUACGUAUACUGAAGGAUGUAAAGUCCCAAAAGAAGGCCAUAUAGGACGAUUUCCAGCUAAUUUUUGUAUUAAAGUGAUUGUUCAAACUAAAGAAGAACACGUCAUACGUGCUUGUACGCUGGAAAAUAUGGAUAACCAGUGUGGUGUCUUCCGGUUUGAAAAGGAUACUUUACAAGGCUGUAUACUUACUUGUGACUAUGACGGUUGUAAUUCAAG